GAUGAACGCUGGCGGCGUGCUUAACACAUGCAAGUCGAACGAUGAAAGCGGGAGCUUGCUCCUGCUGGAUUAGUGGCGAACGGGUGAGUAACACGUGAGCAAUCUGCCCCGAACUCUGGGAUAAGCGUUGGAAACGACGUCUAAUACCGGAUACGACGCGCGAAGGCAUCUUCUGCGCGUGGAAAGAAUUUCGGUUCGGGAUGAGCUCGCGGCCUAUCAGCUAGUUGGUGAGGUAACGGCUCACCAAGGCGACGACGGGUAGCCGGCCUGGGGGGGUGACCGGCCACACUGGGACUGAGACACGGCCCAGACUCCUACGGGAGGCAGCAGUGGGGAAUAUUGCACAAUGGGCGAAAGCCUGAUGCAGCAACGCCGCGUGAGGGACGACGGCCUUCGGGUUGUAAACCUCUUUUAGUAGGGAAGAAGCGAAAGUGACGGUACCUGCAGAAAAAGCACCGGCUAACUACGUGCCAGCCGCCGCCGUAAAAC
rnacentral:rRNA from 1 species